rnacentral:rRNA from 1 species
UACGGAAGGGGCAAGCGUUGUUCGGAAUUAUUGGGCGUAAAGGGCGCGUAGGUGGUUCUGUAUGUCUACCGUGAAAGCAUACAGCUCAACUGUAUUUUGUCGGUAGAAACUGCAGGACUUGAGGCUGGGAGGGGCUGGUGGAAUUCCCUGUGUAGCGGUGAAAUGUGUAGAGAUGGGGGAGAACACGCGUGGCGAAGGCGGCCAGCUAGACCAGUUCUGACACUGAGGCGCGACAGCGUGGGGAGCAAACAGG